CCUCGCCAUACUGCUCAGUAACACGUGGUUAACCUGCCCUAAGGUGGAGAAUACUCCCGGAAAACUGGGGCUAAUGCUCCAUAGUGGAUAUGUCCUGGAAUGGUAUAUCCUCGAAAGAUCCGUCGCCUUAGGAUGGGACUGCGUCCGAUUAGGUUGUUGGCGGGGUAACGGCCCACCAAGCCAUUGAUCGGUACGGGUUGUGGGAGCAAGAUCCCGGAGAUGGAUUCUGAGACAUGAAUCCAGGCCCUACGGGGCGCAGCAGGCGCGCAAACUUUACAAUGCGAGCAAUCGUGAUAAGGAAACCCUGAGUGCCUGUCGAUGCAGGCUGUUCAUAUAUCUAAAUCAUAUGUGAAGAAAGGGCAGGGCAAGACCGGUGCCAGCCGCCGCGGUAAUACCGGCUGCUCGAGUGAUGGCCACUAUUACUGGGUUUAAAGCGUCCGUAGCUUGACUGUUAGGUCUCUUGGGAAAUCUUCACGCUCAACGUGAAGGCGUCUAAGAGAUACCGGCAGUCUUGGAACUGGGAGAGGUAAACCGUACUUCGGGGGUAGGAGUGAAAUCUUGUAAUCCUCGAGGGACGACCUAUGGCGAAGGCAGUUUACCAGAACAGCUUCGACAGUGAGGGACGAAAGCUGGGGGAGCAAACGGGAUUAGAUACCCCGGUAGUCCCAGCCGUAAACAAUGUGCGUUAGGUGUGUCGGUAACCACGUGUUACUGAUGCGCCGAAGAGAAAUCGUGAAACGCACCACCUGGGAAGUACGGUCGCAAGGCUGAAACUUAAAGGAAUUGGCGGGGGAGCA
rnacentral:rRNA from 1 species